UACAGAGGUCCCAAGCGUUGUUCGGAUUCACUGGGCGUAAAGGGUGCGCAGGUGGGUUUGCAAGUUCGAUGUGAAAGCCCCGGGCUUAACCCGGGAAUGGCAUUGGAUACUGCAGAUCUGGAGGAUCGGAGGGGGGACUGGAAUUCUUGGUGUAGCAGUGAAAUGCGUAGAUAUCAAGAGGAACACCAGUGGCGAAGGCGAGUCCCUGGACGAUACCUGACACUGAGGCACGAAAGCUAGGGAGCAAA
rnacentral:rRNA from 1 species